rnacentral:lncRNA from 1 species
AGUGGAAAAGUGGAGCCUGCACCGCCCGCUCCCGGCACCCCCGGACACCGCCCCGGUCUCACGCAUGCGCAGAGGGCCGAUCCAGUUCUUUUCGGCUGGAAUGGGGAAUUUGUGAGGUCAAGGAUGCAUUCCAGGAAAGUUCUAUAAAAAUAUACCAUCAACUCCAACCUGAUAUUUGACCUAGCCAUGGAAAACCUCAUUGGCUCCUCACUGGAUCAGACCAUAAAAAUGAUCCAGGAAUGAAAAUCUAAGAUAAAUUCCCACCACUUCAAGAUGUUCUUAUACAAGUCAACAGUCUAGCAGAUCAGCCAGUCUCUUUCAUCAUCAAGCAGACAUACUCAAGAAAGAGGAAUAGUGAAGUGAAAUAUACAGAAGCAUGUUCAAGUUCAUCUGUUGAAUCUGGAAUUGUGAAUAGUGACAAUAUUGAGAAAAAUACUGACUCCAAUCUGCAAACUUCAACUUCAUUUGAGCCACAUUUCAAAAAGAAAAAAAAGAAAAAUUUGAAACAUUAAGGGAAAACAGUUGGGUAAAAGAUCCAUUUGCUUUUCGACACCCUGAAUCAAUAAUUGAGCUAAACUUGGUGCCUGAAGAAGAGAAUGAAUUAUUGCAGCUUAGUUCUUCAUAUACAUUGAAGA